AGUGAACGCUGGCGGUAGGCCUAACACAUGCAAGUCGAACGGCAGCACAGUAAGAGCUUGCUCUUACGGGUGGCGAGUGGCGGACGGGUGAGGAAUACAUCGGAAUCUACUUUUUCGUGGGGGAUAACGUAGGGAAACUUACGCUAAUACCUCAUACGACCUACGGGUGAAAGCAGGGGAUCUUCGGACCUUUCGCGAUUGAAUGAGCCGAUGUCGGAUUAGCUAGUUGGCGUGGUAAAGGCCCACCAAGGCGACGAUCCGUAGCUGGUCUGAGAGGAUGAUCAGCCACACUGGAACUGAGACACGGUCCAGACUCCUACGGGAGGCAGCAGUGGGGAAUAUUGGACAAUGGGCGCAAGCCUGAUCCAGCCAUACCGCGUGGGUGAAGAAGGCCUUCGGGUUGUAAAGCCCUUUUGUUGGGAAAGAAAAGCAGCAGGUUAAUACACCGAUGUUCUGACGGUACCCAAAGAAUAAGCACCGGCUAACUUCGUG
rnacentral:rRNA from 1 species